UACGGGGGGAGCAAGCGUUGUUCGGAUUUACUGGGCGUAAAGGGCGCGUAGGCGGCCUCCGCAAGUCAGUUGUGAAAUCUCCGAGCUUAACUCGGAAAGGUCAACUGAUACUGCGGGGCUAGAGUGCGGAAGGGGCAACUGGAAUUCUUGGUGUAGCGGUGAAAUGCGUAGAUAUCAAGAGGAACACCUGCGGCGAAGGCGGGUUGCUGGGCCGACACUGACGCUGAGGCGCGGAAGCUAGGGGAGCGAACGGG
rnacentral:rRNA from 1 species